GCUCUCAUAGUUUAAUGGAUAAAACACAAGCCUCCGAAGCUUGAGAUCCAAGUUCGAUUCUUGGUGAGAGCA
rnacentral:tRNA from 1 species